rnacentral:rRNA from 1 species
AUACGGAGGGUGCGAGCGUUAAUCGGAAUUACAGGGCGUAAAGCGUACGUAGGCGGUUUGCUAAGUCAGAUGUGAAAGCCCCGGGCUUAACCUGGGAACUGCAUUUGAUACUGGCAGACUAGAGUAUGAUAGAGGGGGGUAGAAUUCCUGGUGUAGCGGUGAAAUGCGUAGAUAUCAGGAGGAAUACCAGUGGCGAAGGUGGCCCCCUGGAUCAAUACUGACGCUGAGGUACGAAAGCGUGGGGAGCGAACAGGAUUAGAAACCCUAGUAGUCC